AUGGAAAGCCCGCAAGAUCUGGAUCCGCGGAGGCACGCAGGCGAUCGCGACGCCCUGGAGACGAACGCCGUCGGUUCCAUUGGGGAGAUGGUCGUCGCCCCGGCGGGGAGCGGCGCCACCGCCAACGUCGUCGCCUCGGAGGGCGUCGUCUCGGGGACGAACGGCGUCGCGUCGGAGGGGAUCGACGGCGGCGCCUCGGCAGGCGUCGUCCCGGGGACGAACGUCGUCGCCUCGGAGGGGAGCGGCGCCGGCGCUAAGGUUGGAGGGAGGCGACGCCGGAGGGGAGCGGCGUCGAACUCCCUCAGCGCCAAGGCGACCGUCCCCGUCGACAAGUGGCGCUGCCACCAGUGCCGUCAGAGAAAAAUAGGGGUCGCGACAGAUUGCAAAAGGUGCACUCAGAGAUACUGCGAGAGUUGCAUGCGUAACAGGUAUCCUUUGAUUGCGGAUGAGGUGUUGAAGAAGGGGGCCUGGGAAUGCGCCAAAUGCAGGAAGGAGUGCAACUGCAGCGUGUGCCAAAAGAAGAGAGGGGACGAGCCGACGGGGCGAAUGGUCCAUGCCACCAACAGGCCGAAGGUCAACCUGGUGCAAACUAAGAGCAUCAGUACACUCAAGGAUGAAAUAGUUGUACCCAGGGGUACUCCCGUGACUUGCAUUGCAGGUAUAAAGCUGCAGUCUGAAGAUGUUGGCGCUGCUAUUCAAUUUCUGGAGUUCUGCCGCUCCUUUGGCAAGAUCUGCAAAAUAGGGAAGGGGCUACCAGAAGAAAUUCUCACAGACUUAACUCAACUCGAAGAGGUGUCUUCAGUUGUUGCUAACGUUCACAUAAAUCUUCUGUCUAUCAUAGAAAAUGGCAAAGAUAACCCUUUUGAUAAGUAUCCAAGUCAUGGAGAUGAAUGGAUAAGAAAAGUAGGCGAGUACAUCAAUUUGACAUUACAUGCAGAAGAUUUCACACUUCGUUGUUUAAAUCAAGGGGUAUCAGGCUAUAAAAUUUUGAACCCUUCUUGUAAGCUGGAGGUUCUGAAUUGUCUGUGUAAUGAGGCAUUGUCUUCUAAAAAGUUGAGGACCUACAUUGACAUUGAAGAUAAAAAAUGUAUGGCCAGACAAAAAAUCAAAGCUGCAACCAGAAAGCAAAAGGAGCUGAAAAGAAGACAUGAUGACAUGACUAAAACAAUCAAAGGAGGAGAUAUUGCUAACAAUGAGGAAGCUAAUGAUAUUCUUUCUCAAAUAAAGGAAGCAGAAGAAAUCAAGAAGGCAGCCCGGAAUGAAUCAGAGGAGCUGGAACGUGUUCAUAGGACAGCUCCUGUUAUGGUAGACAAUGGAGUAAAAUACUGGAAGCUGGGUGGCUAUUGUAAUAACAAUACAAACAUAAUGCGUCAAGAAUUCGUUGACGAAAAUAGAACCAAGAACAAAGACAUAUGGUUCAUGUUCACUGAAGACGAACAUAAAAUAGUUGAAGAUCAUGUAACUACAAGGUGA
rnacentral:rRNA from 1 species